rnacentral:rRNA from 1 species
GACGAACGCUGGCGGCGUGCUUAACACAUGCAAGUCGAACGAAGUGGCGAACGGGUGAGUAAUACGUGGGUAACCUGCCCUCCUUUUUGGGAUAAGCCUUGGAAACGGGGUCUAAUACCGAAUAAAGGGGGCGGGGCUCGCGGCCUAUCAGCUUGUUGGUGGGGUGAUGGCCUACCAAGGCGGUGACGGGUUGCCGGCCUGAGAGGGGGACCGGCCACAUUGGGACUGAGAUACGGCCCAGGCUCCUACGGGAGGCUGCGGUGGGGGAUAUUGGGCAAAUGGCGCGAGUCUGACCCAGCAAGGCCGGGUGAAGGAAGACGUUCUUCGGGUUGAAGACUUCGUUAGUCAGGGACGGUACCUAUAGAAUAAGCAACGGCUAACUACGUGCCAGCAGCCGCGGUAAUUC